GUAUAGUUUAUUUUUAUGGACAUCCCUGGUGGUUCAGAUGGUAAAGUGUCUGACUAUAAUGUGGGAGACCUGGGUUCGAUCCCUGGGUUGGGAAGAUCCUCUGGAGAAGGAAAUGGCAACCCACUUGAAUACUCUUGCCUGGAAAAUCCCAUGGACGGAGGAGUGCGGGACUAUUUACAAAGAUUUGUUCAAGGAGCAUAGAAACCACUUGAGAUGGUGCAGUAAUAGCAAAGAGGAGGAUGCAGUUACUGGAACACAAAGGUGGGGAGGCUGUAUGGAAGGAAUGGGUCAUCUAAAAAGAGCUAUGAGGUUGAAUGGACUGUGUGGCCAUCUAUAUCAAUAACGAAGGGACUUACACGCAAAUGAUAGGAUCAGCGGUGCCAUAGCCUGGUCAUGCUACACAGAAACAGUCUUCUCAAGAAUCAGUUUUUAAAAAUCAGCAGAAGGAAAGAUGCUGACCCUCUCCAAUUCUUUUCCACUUGAAUUUUCAGCUACACUGUCACCAGCAUUUUUUUUUUUUUACAGCUAAUACAGUAGGACAGGUGUCCUGAAAUAAGUGCCUGUCUUUGGAAAGAGCAAAUGGGUGACAAUAUCUAGAUCUGAAGUUUACAGCAACACUGAACUGACCAUACUGGUUAUCCUCAGGGAGCCCAGAACUACGUGACAUAUAUUUUCUGAAAAGAGGCUGAAAUCAAGCAGAGUGAGAGCAAAAUUUGCAACUGAAGACUAGUUAAAAUUUUAUGCAAAAAUAUAUAAUACCGAAAUGAGGCAUGGUGGUUUGGUUUUCUUUACAAUUAUAGUUAACCCUUAAAAUCUCUAAUAAAGAAAUAUCAUGCUAUAUUAC
ensembl:lncRNA